rnacentral:rRNA from 1 species
UACAGAGGUCUCGAGCGUUGUUCGGAUUCAUUGGGCGUAAAGGGCGCGUAGGCGGCGGGGUAAGUCUGGUGUGAAAUCUCGGAGCUCAACUCCGAGAUUGCACUGGAUACUGCUCUGCUAGAGGGCUGGAGAGGAGAUCGGAAUUCACGGUGUAGCAGUGAAAUGCGUAGAUAUCGUGAGGAAGACCAGUGGCGAAGGCGGAUCUCUGGACAACACCUGACACUGAGGCGCGAAAGCUAGGGGAGCAAACAGG